rnacentral:ncRNA from 20 species
GUAAACCAGGGUGAUGGGGUUCACCUGUAACCGCUUUUUCCAGCUGAUGACUCCUCUUCCUGU